rnacentral:rRNA from 1 species
GAUGAACGCUGGCGGCGUGCCUAAUACAUGCAAGUCGAGCGAACAGACGGGGAGCUUGCUCCUUUGACGUUAGCGGCGGACGGGUGAGUAACACGUAGGUAACCUACCUAUAAGACUGGGAUAACUUCGGGAAACCGGAGCUAAUACCGGAUAAUAUUUCGAACCGCAUGGUUCGAUAGUGAAAGAUGGCUUUGCUAUCACUUAUAGAUGGACCUGCGCCGUAUUAGCUAGUUGGUAAGGUAACGGCUUACCAAGGCAACGAUACGUAGCCGACCUGAGAGGGUGAUCGGCCACACUGGAACUGAGACACGGUCCAGACUCCUACGGGAGGCAGCAGUAGGGAAUCUUCCGCAAUGGGCGAAAGCCUGACGGAGCAACGCCGCGUGAGUGAUGAAGGUCUUCGGAUCGUAAAACUCUGUUAUGAGGGAAGAACAAACGUGUAAGUAACUGUGCACGUCUUGACGGUACCUAAUCAGAAAGCAACGGCUAACUACGU